AACGAACGCUGGCGGCAUGCCUAACACAUGCAAGUCGAACGAGACCUUCGGGUCUAGUGGCGCACGGGUGCGUAACGCGUGGGAAUCUGCCCUUUGCUUCGGAAUAACAGUUAGAAAUGACUGCUAAUACCGGAUGAUGUCUUCGGACCAAAGAUUUAUCGGCAAAGGAUGAGCCCGCGUAGGAUUAGGUAGUUGGUGGGGUAAAGGCCUACCAAGCCGACGAUCCUUAGCUGGUCUGAGAGGAUGAUCAGCCACACUGGGACUGAGACACGGCCCAGACUCCUACGGGAGGCAGCAGUGGGGAAUAUUGGACAAUGGGCGAAAGCCUGAUCCAGCAAUGCCGCGUGAGUGAUGAAGGGCCCUUCGGGUCGUUAAAGCUCUUUUACCAGGGAUGAUAAU
rnacentral:rRNA from 1 species